UAGGGAAUCUUCCGCAAUGGGCGAAAGCCUGACGGAGCAACGCCGCGUGAGUGAUGAAGGUCUUCGGAUCGUAAAACUCUGUUAUUAGGGAAGAACAAAUGUGUAAGUAACUAUGCACGUCUUGACGGUACCUAAUCAGAAAGCCACGGCUAGCUACGUGCCAGCAGCCGCGGUAAUACGUAGGUGGCAAGCGUUAUCCGGAAUUAUUGGGCGUAAAGCGCGCGUAGGCGGUUUUUUAAGUCUGAUGUGAAAGCCCACGGCUCAACCGUGGAGGGUCAUUGGAAACUGGAAAACUUGAGUGCAGAAGAGGAAAGUGGAAUUCCAUGUGUAGCGGUGAAAUGCGCAGAGAUAUGGAGGAACACCAGUGGCGAAGGCGACUUUCUGGUCUGUAACUGACGCUGAUGUGCGAAAGCGUGGGGAUCAAACAGG
rnacentral:rRNA from 1 species